rnacentral:rRNA from 1 species
CCCUUAGAUGUCCGGGGCCGCACGCGCGCUACACUGAAGGAAUCAGCGUGGCUUUCUCCCUGACCCGAAAGGGUUGGGAAACCCGUUGAAUCUCCUUCGUGAUAGGGAUUGGGGCUUGAAAUUGUUCCCCAUGAACGAGGAAUUCCCAGUAAGCGCGAGUCAUAAGCUCGCGUUGAUUACGUCCCGGCCCUUUGUACACACCGCCCGUCGCUACUACCGAUUGAACGGUUUAGUGAGGGCCUCGGAUUGGUCUCGGCCCGCUCUUUACCGGGCGGCGCCGUUGGUCGAGAAGACGCUCGAACUUGAUCGUUUAGAGGAAGUAAAAGUCGUAACA